AUUGAACGCUGGCGGCAGGCCUAACACAUGCAAGUCGAGCGGAUGAAGGGAGCUUGCUCCUGGAUUCAGCGGCGGACGGGUGAGUAAUGCCUAGGAAUCUGCCUGGUAGUGGGGGAUAACGUCCGGAAACGGGCGCUAAUACCGCAUACGUCCUGAGGGAGAAAGUGGGGGAUCUUCGGACCUCACGCUAUCAGAUGAGCCUAGGUCGGAUUAGCUAGUUGGUGGGGUAAAGGCCUACUAAGGCGACGAUCCGUAACUGGUCUGAGAGGAUGAUCAGUCACACUGGAACUGAGACACGGUCCAGACUCCUACGGGAGGCAGCAGUGGGGAAUAUUGGACAAUGGGCGAAAGCCUGAUCCAGCCAUGCCGCGUGUGUGAAGAAGGUCUUCGGAUUGUAAAGCACUUUAAGUUGGGAAGAAGGGCAGUAAGUUAAUACCUUGCUGUUUUGACGUUACCAACAGAAUAAGCACCGGCUAACUUCGUG
rnacentral:rRNA from 1 species